rnacentral:rRNA from 1 species
GCACGCUGACACGUAGGUGAAGUGAUUUACUCAUGGAGCUGAAGUCAGUCGAAGAUACCAGCUGGCUGCAACUGUUUAUUAAAAACACAGCACUGUGCAAACACGAAAGUGGACGUAUACGGUGUGACGCCUGCCCGGUGCCGGAAGGUUAAUUGAUGGGGUCAGCGCAAGCGAAGCUCCUGAUCGAAGCCCCGGUAAACGGCGGCCGUAACUAUAACGGUCCUAAGGUAGCGAAAUUCCUUGUCGGGUAAGUUCCGACCUGCACGAAUGGCGUAAUGAUGGCCAGGCUGUCUCCACCCGAGACUCAGUGAAAUUGAACUCGCUGUGAAGAUGCAGUGUACCCGCGGCAAGACGGAAAGACCCCGUGAACCUUUACUAUAGCUUGACACUGAACAUUGAGCCUUGAUGUGUAGGAUAGGUGGGAGGCUUUGAAGUGUGGACGCCAGUCUGCAUGGAGCCGACCUUGAAAUACCACCCUUUAAUGUUUGAUGUUCUAACGUGGACCCGUAAUCCGGGUUGCGGACAGUGUCUGGUGGGUAGUUUGACUGGGGCGGUCUCCUCCUAAAGAGUAACGGAGGAGCACGAAGGUUGGCUAAUCCUGGUCGGACAUCAGGAGGUUAGUGCAAUGGCAUAAGCCAGCUUGACUGCGAGCGUGACGGCGCGAGCAGGUGCGAAAGCAGGUCAUAGUGAUCCGGUGGUUCUGAAUGGAAGGGCCAUCGCUCAACGGAUAAAAGGUACUCCGGGGAUAACAGGCUGAUACCGCCCAAGAGUUCAUAUCGACGGCGGUGUUUGGCACCUCGAUGUCGGCUCAUCACAUCCUGGGGCUGAAGUAGGUCCCAAGGGUAUGGCUGUUCGCCAUUUAAAGUGGUACGCGAGCUGGGUUUAGAACGUCGUGAGACAGUUCGGUCCCUAUCUGCCGUGGGCGCUGGAGAACUGAGGGGGGCUGCUCCUAGUACGAGAGGACCGGAGUGGACGCAUCACUGGUGUUCGGGUUGUCAUGCCAAUGGCACUGCCCGGUAGCUAAAUGCGGAAGAGAUAAGUGCUGAAAGCAUCUAAGCACGAAACUUGCCCCGAGAUGAGUUCUCCCUGAGACUUAGAGUCUCCUGAAGGAACGUUGAAGACGACGACGUUGAUAGGCCGGGUGUGUAAGCGCAGCGAUGCGUUGAGCUAACCGGUACUAAUGAACCGUGAGGCUUAACCUUACAACGCCGAAG